AGAGUUUGAUCCUGGCUCAGAGCGAACGCUGGCGGCGUGCUUAACACAUGCAAGUCGAACGCGCAGCAAUCUGUAGCAAUACAGGUUGUGGGCGCGUGGCGAACGGGUGCGUAACACGUGGAUAACCUUCCUUCAGGUGGGGAAUAACCCAGUGAAAAUUGGGCUAAUACCGCAUAACAAAACGAUGAGACAUCUUGUUGUUUUCAAAGGCGCAAGUCGCCAGAAGAGGGAUCCGCGGCCGAUUAGCUUGUUGGCGGGGUAACGGCCCACCAAGGCAUUUAUCGGUAGCCGGACUGAGAGGUUGGCCGGCCACACUGGAACUGAGACACGGUCCAGACUCCUACGGGAGGCAGCAGUGGGGAAUCUUGCACAAUGGGCGAAAGCCUGAUGCAGCAACGCCGCGUGGGGGAUGAAGCUUCUCGGAGUGUAAACCCCUUUCGACCCGGAAGAAAGCCCGCAAGGGUUUGACGGUACGGGUAUAAGAAGCCCCGGCUAACUACGUGCCAGCAGCCGCGGUAAAACGUAGGGGGCCAGCGUUGCUCGGAAUUACUGGGCGUAAAGGGUCCGUAGGCGGUGUGGCAAGUCGGUAGUGAAAUCUCUAGGCUUAACCUAGAGGCUGCUGCCGAAACUGCCGUGCUAGAGUGUGAGAGAGGCGAGUGGAAUUACGGGUGUAGCGGUGAAAUGCGUAGAUAUCCGUAGGAACAUCCGAGGCGAAAGCGGCUCGCUGGAUCACAACUGACGCUGAGGGACGAAAGCUAGGGGAGCAAACAGAAUUAGAUACCCCCGUAGUCC
rnacentral:rRNA from 1 species